rnacentral:rRNA from 1 species
AUUGCACGCUGGCGGCAGGCCUAACACAUGCAAGUCGAGCGAGCGGCGGACGGGUGAGUCAUGUCUGGGAAACUGCCUGAUGGAGGGGGAUAACUACUGGAAACGGUAUCUAAUACCGCAUACCAUCAGAUGUGCCCAGAUGGGAUUGGCUAGUAGGUGGGGUAACGGCUCACCUAGGCGACGAUCCCUAGCUGGUCUGAGAGGAUGACCAGCGACACUGGAACGGGGACACGGUCAAGACCACUACGGGAGGCAGCAUGGGGGAAUAUUGCACAAUGGGCGCAAGCCUGACGCAGCCAGGCCGCGUGUGUGAAGAAGGCCUUCGGGUUGUAAAGCACUUUCAGCGGGGAGGCGUUACACGCAGAAGAAGCACCGGCUAACUCCGUGCCAGCCGCCGCGGUAAUAC